AGAUGAUAAUGAUGAUGAUGAUGAUAAUGAUGAUGAUGAUGGAUCUCUCUUCCUCUUUUAUCAUCCCAUCAUUGUUGAUGUGUGUUAUCAUCAUUAUCAUCAUCAUGAUCUAUC
rnacentral:miRNA from 1 species